ACUCAGUCUAUGUUUUCCUUUUACAAUGGUGCAUUAAGAAAUCAUUUAGAAAUAGAAACACAAUGAAGUUAAAUAUAUGAAUCUAAUUUGUCAAUGCAAAACUCAUCACAGCACAUUGACAAUGUUUUGGGGAAUGCACUUCAUUAAGUCAGCCCCCUCUUUUUAAGUGCGCCACAACUAUAUUCCUGCAUUACAUUCUGCAGUCAAUUCUUUCAAAUAUAUGAAGUUGAGAUAAUCACCACUAAUAUUUUAAAAGCCAAACAAGGUAUAUUACAUUAAAUAGACUUCUCAGCCCUAGUGUUGCCUGACAGGUAUGUGAUGUGCCAGGGGUUAUAUUAUAUUCCUCCUCCCAUGCAUGUGCCUCCUGCAGAGACAGCAGACUACAGAAGCUGACCCUUACUGAGACCAUCUUGUCUCUCUGACAAAGCUCCUUUUUAACUUCUUACUUACUGGUUACUUCCUGUGAUGGAGAAAAACUUUAGCUCAGCUUGUGAUGAUUUCACAGGCCCUGAGGACCCUGACCCUAAUAGCCUCAAGGUCAGAAGUCAAGUUGUGUUCUGAAACAUCUGGGUGCUUUAUAUUAAAGUGGAACAAAAGUGGAGAAAUCUCCACCAGUGUGUGACAAGAAGGACAGGCAAAACAGGACCGACACACUGGUCAUCUGUCAGCCCAGGCAUCAGAAGCUCAUUUUUAAAGUGGUAGAAGAUACACUUA